AUUGAACGCUAGCGGCAUGCUUAACACAUGCAAGUCGAACGGCAGCACGGGCUUCGGCCUGGUGGCGAGUGGCGGACGGGUGAGUAAUGCAUAGGAAUCUGCCUGGCAAUGGGACGAACUUGGGAAACGUCAAGCUAAUACCGCAUACGCCCUACGGGGGAAAGCGGGGAUCUUCGGACCUCGCGUUGUCAGAUGAGCCUAUGUCCGAUUAGCUAGUUGGUGGGGUAAAGGCCUACCAAGGCGACGAUCGGUAGCUGGUCUGAGAGGACGACCAGCCACACUGGGACUGAGACACGGCCCAGACUCCUACGGGAGGCAGCAGUGGGGAAUAUUGGACAAUGGGGCAACCCGUGCAUCCAGCAAUGCCGCGUGGGUGAAGAAGGCCUGCGGUGUAAAGGCCCUUUCAGUAGGGCAGAAAAUGCUGAAGGAAUAAUACCGUUUCAGUGUUGACGUUACCUACAGAAGAAGCACCGGCUAACUCUGUGCCAGCAGCCGCGGUAAUACAGAGGGUGCAAGCGUUAAUCGGAAUUACUGGGCGUAAAGCGCACGUAGGUGGUUUGAUAAGUCGGAUGUGAAAGCCCGG
rnacentral:rRNA from 1 species